CUCUGGUUUCUCUUCAGAGCCUAUGAAUCUUUUGCCUUUU
rnacentral:snRNA from 1 species